GGAACAUUCUACGCCUCUGUUGGUGAAUUUAAUUCGUGUUCCGUGGUCGUUGACGUUCUGAUCGUUCUGAAAAUUUGACAAAGCGAUCUUCCGUUUUCCGUUACUUGGCUGUGAAGUGUGCUAGGAUUCGGUCGACGAACUUGGUUCCAUAAUGGCGGAAGGUUUCAUUUCUUAAGCCAUUCUAUUUGGAAAAAAAAAUGCAGUCCCACUGAAGUAAAAAUGGUAUCCCGUGGUUUUCCCAGAAUCCAUCCAGAGUUUCUAGAGGGACAGUAAAUGAACAACUGACCUAUCCGCCAUUUGGGGAGAAAUAUUAGAACCUACCAUGUAAAUCCUUCAACCACCUGGAAGGCGUCGAUUCCAGCCACGACCACAGCCAAGUCACUAUUGGGGUUUUGGGAACAAGCUUUUUGGGGGACAUUCCAGCUCCUUUUCGUCCUGCCACCUGGGCCUACGGGGGGCAUGGAGGCGCAUCAUCGUGAUGCUCAUUUUCUAGGAUGCAACCGCAAUCUCAUUUGGGAACAUUUAGUGUUGUGCA